CGUCCAGAAGUCACUCCCGAGCCGGCCUGGAGUCAAACACGAAGCAAAAGACCACCAUUUUCAGCACAUCGGCCAGCGAGAAGUCCUUAUCUGACUGCAGAAAGGCACGGCGAUGGGGACUUGCGGUGCACAGCAGCGUACCUCCAGUCUGCUCUACGAGCCCUCCGACUGAGAAGCCGACUGGCAAAAGUCCUACGGUAGAGGAGCUACAUGACUCCGGUCACUUGGUGCAUGCAAGUUUGUAG